rnacentral:sRNA from 1 species
AGGGGCGUGUGUCGUGUGAUAGGCGUUUUCUGGUGAACGACACAUACAGACAUUGGGAGCAAGUCGCCGAGGUUGGCUCGCGAACUUGGCUCCAAGAUGUGUGAGUUGUUUGCCAGAGACAACAUGUAGGAACUUUAAUUCUUAAGGACCAGGAGUGACAGUCUUGGCGACUGUCUGAGUCUUAGUGACAUUCUGACGGUCAGAGACGGUAGAUCUAUAUAUGGUGUAUCUUUGCCUGCUACGCAAGGGGAUAUCACUCUGGUAUUGAGCGGACUGUGACGUUGGGUUCCAGGAUCCGUGCAGAGACUAGAGAGAGAGACAAGAGAAAUGAGACAAGAGAAAUGGAGAGUUCAUCGUGACCUACAGCCAAGCAUCAAUGUCUAUGUGAUUAUUAACUUUUAAUUCUAGAAUCCCAUGAGUUAAACUUUAUAAUAGUAUUUUAAUUAAUAACUUCUUUGUUGUUCUUUUUACAUAUUAGACUGUCGUAUUAUAUGUAACUAUAAGUGUUAAUUAAAUAUUUAUUUUUCGUAUGCAAA